rnacentral:rRNA from 1 species
UAACACGGCCAUACCACCCUGAACGCUCCCGAUCUCGUCUGAUCUCGGAAGCUAAGCAGGGUCAGACCGGGUUAGUACUUGGAUGGAAAGGAGAAGAAUUCGUAUCUGAA